CAGAUGGGAGAACCUCACAAACUUUGAUAUGCAGUUUUACUGUGAGGUUCUAUCAUCCAUACUAGAGAUGAUUGAAGUAACAGUGGGGCCACGCACAUAUGAUGUCAAGUUAGUUGUUAGCUCUGUUUUGCCUCAAGAAUCUUCAGUGUGUGAUUCAUCAUCUUCCCAAGAGAAUGAUCAUGUUCAUAUGGGGGAUAGUGAAUGGGACUAUUGGUUCGGCCAUCCCAAUCUAAACCAGCAAGCUGGUAGUGAUCGGUUCAAUCUACACCAUACAGUUUGCAACUCACUGAAGC
rnacentral:lncRNA from 1 species